rnacentral:lncRNA from 1 species
GGACAAGGCCCGGCGCCGAGCAAAGACUAUUACCAGUUGUUGAUCACCCGAACUCAGUUCAAGUCGCCGUAGUAUUUGGUGCAAAGAUAUUAGACUAUGUCUUCAACCUGUGUGAAGGUAAAUUUGACUACCUGGAGCGGCUCUCUGACAAACUGCUGCUGAAGAUCAUGAACUACCUGGACUUGGAAGACAUCGCCAGGCUCUCUCAGACAUCAAGCCGGUUUGAGAAGCUGUGCAAGAGUGACUCGCUGUGGGAGCAGAUAGUCCAGUCCACCUAUGACACCAUCACCCCUGACAUGCGGGCCCUGGCGAAUGACGUGGGCUGGAGACAGAUGUUCUUCACCAACAAGAUCCAGCUCCAGAGGCAGAUCCGCAAGAAGAAGCAAAGACAGGGAAGCGAGACUACGAAGCCUACUUAGGGGACGGCUGUUCCCACAACUGAGGCCACAGUGGUGCAUCUCUUCAGGUCCAAUCUCACUCUCUCUUAACAACAGGUUUUGCUGAUUCCAGGCAUCACUUGAAAAAUCAGAUUUUUCACACACAUGCAAAUCCACCUAGUGCCUUGCUUGAGCAAUCUCCCCUGUCCUGCUCAGGCCAACCCACGGCCCAUGUACUAAGGGCUUCGAGACAGGAAGCCUCUCAGACCACCUCCUUCCUGAUCCCCUGUUGCCCAUGAGGAAAGAGGCACCUGCUGUGUAUGAACUAAC